GACGAACGCUGGCGGCGUGCUUAACACAUGCAAGUCGAACGGAAAGGCCCUGCUUUUGUGGGGUGCUCGAGUGGCGAACGGGUGAGUAACACGUGAGUAACCUGCCCUUGACCUUGGGAUAACUUCAGGAAACUGGGGCUAAUACCGGAUAGGAGCUCCUGCUGCAUGGUGGGGGUUGGAAAGUUUCGGCGGUUGGGGAUGGACUCGCGGCUUAUUAGCUUGUGGGUGGGGUAGUGGCUUACCCAGGCUUUGACGGGUAGCCGGCCUGGGAGGGUGACCGGCCACAUUGGGACUGAGAUACGGACCAGACUCCUACGGGAGGCAGCAGUGGGGAAUAUUGCACAAUGGGCGGAAGCCUGAUGCAGCAACGCCGCGUGCGGGAUGACGGCCUUCGGGUUGUAAACCGCUUUCGCCUGUGACGAAGCGUGAGUGACGGUAAUGGGUAAAGAAGCACCGGCUAACUACGUG
rnacentral:rRNA from 1 species